UUUGAGGUACUAGCGGAAUUGGUUGUGAAAUGUAGUUGGUUGUGGAGAGUUAUAAUCAAAUUGUUGUAAAGAAUACUAGUAUAAGGGGUCUUACGGUAGUGGUUGAGGAAGUUAGAUGGAUAUGACCUUGAUUUUAUGCUAGUAAGUUAAAAUUAGUUAGAUGAUCAUAUUGGUGGGACUUUGGUUAAUUAAAUAAUGUUGAGAAGGUUCAUUUAGAUUAGUCCUUAUGUUAGAGGAAUAUUGAAAAUGAAUGUUAAUACUUGUUAUUGUUCUUUGAGGUAUAUAUAAAUCAUUGUUGAAUCAAGGGCUAUUAGAUUUGGAUCAUGGAAUAAAGCGAUAAUUGGAGUUUGAGCAAGAGUUCAUUGUUAGUGAUCUUGCAGGUUCAUGUGUGGAAAGCUCGGAAUGGAUAAAAGGAAGAAUUUGGGUAUCAAGGUUAUAAUUAGAUUUAAUGGUUCAGAGGUUGUAUUUAGGAAUAUAUAUAUCCUUAUUUGUGAAUAUAAUACUAUAUUGCUUUGGAAA